UACGGAGGGUGCAAGCGUUAAUCGGAAUUACUGGGCGUAAAGCGCGCGUAGGCGGUUAAUUAAGUCAGAUGUGAAAGCCCAGGGCUCAACCUUGGAACUGCAUUUGAAACUGGUUAGCUUGAGUAUGGUAGAGAAUGGUGGAAUUUCCAGUGUAGCAGUGAAAUGCGUAGAGAUUGGAAGGAAUAUCGAUGGCGAAGGCAGCCAUUUGGGCCAAUACUGACGCUGAGGUGCGAAAGCGUGGGGAGCGAACGGG
rnacentral:rRNA from 1 species